GCUCCCAAAGGCACGUGUCG
rnacentral:snRNA from 1 species